GAUUGUUCGUAAAUUUUCCGCAUAAGCAUUGAUGUCAAAUUUUCCGCAAAAGUAUGCUAUCUGUUAUCGUAUAACGAAAGACUUCUUACAGGACAAUCUAUCAUAGUAUAUGCAAGAAAUGCAAACAAAUACUAAAUCACGAGGAUAAACUGUAGGCUGAACUCUAAUAGUAAAAUCGGCGGGGAAGAAAACCAAAUUUUUCUCAAACUUGAACUUCAACCAUUACAUUACCUUUUAUGGCAUUACUGAGUGCGUAAACAAAAACCAUAGACAUGUACUAAAAUAUACUGUUUGUGAUACAGUAUCGGCGGUUUGCAUGUAGACAUGGUAUCUCCGGAAAGUCCGAUUUACUAAACAAAAAAUGCGGUGAAAACCAGGUAAUGUCUGUUUUACCAAGUAUUUCCUGUGAUGUUCAAGUGGCGCAAAAUAUUUAUAUUAUGGAAAAAAGAAUGACCAUGAUCAUUUGAAAGCAAGAUUCUAGUAAAUAUUGUGUAUAGAUGUUUGGUCUUAUGUACGUUUGUCAGCGAUAAAUGCGCACGAGUAGCAUCUGGUUAUGGUAAAAAAAACUUACAGAAAAAAAUGUUUU